rnacentral:rRNA from 1 species
UUAUUGCUCAAGUAACACGUGGACAACCUACCCUGUGGAGGGGGAUAACCCCGGAAAACUGGGGAUAAUACCCCAUAGGUUAGGGUGGCUGGAAUGCCCCCUAGCUCAAAGGUCCGCCGCCACAGGAUGGGUCUGCGGCCGAUUAGGUUGUUGUUGGGGUAACGGCCCAACAAGCCUUUGAUCGGUACGGGUUGUGGGAGCAAGAGCCCGGAGAUGGAUUCUGAGACACGAAUCCAGGCCCUACGGGGCGCAGCAGGCGCGAAAACUUUACAAUGCGAGAAAUCGUGAUAAGGGAACCCCGAGUGCCCGUAAAUUCGGGCUGUCCGCCAGUGCAAAAAACUGGUGAAGAAAGAGCCGGGCAAGACCGGUGCCAGCAGCCGCGGAAAUACAAUAAA